AACUUUUAACAAUGGAUCUCUUGGCUCUGGCAUCGAUGAAGAACGCAGCGAAAUGCGAUAAGUAGUGUGAAUUGCAGAAUUCAGUGAAUCAUCGAAUCUUUGAACGCACAUUGCGCCCCUUGGUAUUCCGAGGGGCAUGCCUGUUCGAGCGUCAUCU
rnacentral:rRNA from 1 species